rnacentral:lncRNA from 1 species
UACCGUUAAAUAAAUGCAACAUGCACCACAUAGGGUGCGUCAAGAUGCUCUUUUCAUUUCAGGUUGCUAACCCUAGAUGGACCCAGCCCCUGUGUUGAGUCCCCUAAGUCAACAUGCACAUGAUGCAGAUAAGCGUUCCUGCUAGGGAUCCGACAUGAAGUUGAGUUAUUAGGUUCAAAACCAGGGUGUUUGUUCUAGACCU